GCAAACUUGGUCAUUUAGAGGAAGUAAAAGUCGUAACAAGGUUUCCGUAGGUGAACCUGCGGAAGGAUCAUUAAUGAAUACCCUGGACGCUCUUUUUAGAGGUCCGACCCUUCAUUACCUUCACACUGUGCACACACUUCAUUUUUACACCCAUUUUUGAACACUACAGUAUAAGAAUGUACCAGUCUCUUGAUUGAGCAUAAAUACAUAAUAAAACUUUCAGCAACGGAUCUCUUGGCUCUCGCAUCGAUGAAGAACGCAGC
rnacentral:misc_RNA from 1 species